GUGCCGCUUUGUAGCCUUCUUGUUUUUCUUUUUUGUAAUAGUACCCUUCAUGGCCAUUGUAAAAUUUAAGAGAAAUAAAUAAAAUUUAUCUUAAUCAUAUCUUGUCCUUUUUACUUGUGCAUGCCGAUCCGAGGCGAUCAUUUGUUAAUACCGCUUCAAAGCAAUUAGUUAAUAAUAUCGCUCCGAGAUGAUUGGCCGAGUGGUAACUUCAUUCUGCUCUUUUGAUA
rnacentral:lncRNA from 1 species